rnacentral:RNase_P_RNA from 1 species
CCAGAGGGUCGGGCGACCGCCGCUUCACGGGUAACUGUGUCGGGGAGGAAAGUCCGGGCUCCAGCGAGGAACGGUGCCGGAUAACGUCCGGCUGAGGUAACUCAAGGGAAAGUGCCACAGAAAUCAUACCUCCGCAUUUCGAUGCGGUAAGGUCGAAAUGGUGCGGUAAGAGCGCACCGCGUUGCUGGUAACAGGAACGGCACGGCAAACCCCACCGGGAGCAAAACCGAAUAGGGGCGGCACAUGGCAUCCUCCUGCCAGUCGCCCGGGUUGGUUGCAUGAGCGGCGCAGCAAUGUUCCGCCUAGAUGAAUGGUCGCACAAUCGCCUUCGGGCGAUGGACAAAACCCGGCUUAUAGACCCUCUGGCUUU